UUAUUAUGAGAGUUUGAUCCUGGCUCAGGACGAACGCUGGCGGCGUGCCUAAUACAUGCAAGUCGAACGCUUCUUUCCUCCCGAGUGCUUGCACUCAAUUGGAAAGAGGAGUGGCGGACGGGUGAGUAACACGUGGGUAACCUACCCAUCAGAGGGGGAUAACACUUGGAAACAGGUGCUAAUACCGCAUAACAGUUUAUGCCGCAUGGCAUAAGAGUGAAAGGCGCUUUCGGGUGUCGCUGAUGGAUGGACCCGCGGUGCAUUAGCUAGUUGGUGAGGUAACGGCUCACCAAGGCCACGAUGCAUAGCCGACCUG
rnacentral:rRNA from 1 species